CAAAAACUGCCCACUGCCCUGGACGGCCACCGGACCGUGAACCCUGGCGCCAAGUCACCCCGUCCUUACUGGGCAUUCAGUCCCUCGCAGGAGGGGCACCGAACACAUCCUCGGCACACACCCCACCUCCCAAGCUUCUGGGCGUAUUAGAACUGUGGCUGUCUGUCAACCUCGAGUCAGUAUCAGGUGAAAAUCAGUUUUCCAGUCCGGUUGGGGCCCCAGAAUUUGCACUGCCAACCGAGUCCUAGGUGAAACUGAUGUUGCUGGUUCCAGCACCAGGCUUUGAGAACCACUCACUGCCUUAGAAAACAAGGUGAUCUAAGACAGGUGGAAACAGUGGAAUGAACACUUAGGAACUCUGCAGACUUGGAAAAGAAGGUAGAGAGUUGGAAUGAUUGCACGGGACUUCACUGGAAGCCUGUCUACCCGUCUUAAACGCUUUCAGAGUGAAACCAGAAUCCUUACCCUUUCUGCUCCUGCAAAACCCCUCUCAUCCUUCACCCUCAGUGGCCACUUCAAAUGUCACAUCCUCCCAGCUUUCUGUCACCACCUUUUCUCCCAGACAUUUUACUCGUUCCUACAUGUUCCUAUUAACAUCUUAUUCCAACUGCUAAUACUGGAUUUCAUGGAUUGUCUUGUAUUUGGGAGGAUACAGAUCUCAUUUCCCGUUAGAGCUUUCUGAGGACGGGGAGAAUCACCUUCAUUUCCAUAGUCCCUGAAUUUGAAGCAGAGCCUGACAUGAAGCGGCACUCAAAGCACGUUUUGUUGACAUCUUUCAGUGAAUUGGGGUUCUGGUUAUUGAGUGUUAUGACGGAGCUAAGAAGAAAACGGCACUAAUGCCUAUCUCUGCAAAGACACACGGGAACGGCAGUAGCUUCUGUCACCCAGGCAUGAGGGCAUUCGUCCUCCUGAUGUGUGUCCUCAGCUCAGCAGGACCUCAGCUCCCCGACCAGGGGCCCACUCCUCCCAGUUAAAGAGUGCUAGUCAGAGCUGAUCUGCAUAAUUACCACUGGGUCAUUCAGCAUUUCAUUUUGUGGGAAACUGACAUGACUGGAGCCAUUUUGGAAUAUGGAUUUAGAGUCACCAUCAGAGAGAAACCACCUUCUCUGGGCCCAAACCUUUGGACUGGGCAAAACGCCCAUCACUUUAAGUCAUUUGAGAGGUGAGGUCAGCAGGAGAACACAUCCUGAUCACAAGUCUGAUGGUCCUGCACAUUCUGAAGGUAGAGUCGGUCAGUCAGCGUAUAGCCCAGAGUAGCUUAGCUUAUUAAAACACCCAUAGAAAACUUUUCUUUCCCUUUUCUUAACUCAUGUAAUUACCCCCAUUCCUUUUCCUCAACCCCUUGCUUUCACCUUACAGGCAGGAUACUAUUUGGGUGUCUACCUGAAUCUGUGCCCCCUGAAUUGCAAUCCUGAGACCCCCAAAGAAAGGGCCUUUGCUGUUCUUCAGUUUCAUGUCCUUUUCCCAGUUGGUGGGGGAUCCAAAGCCAUGCACCACUCUGAUUCCCGCCCCAGGCUGGAUCCAAGCCUGGUGCCUGCCUGACCCCACUGUGCUCCAUCGUCUUCCCUGAUGGCUCUGGGACCUUGUGGUAAGUCCUCUCCAUUCCGAACCUCCCUCUCUUUAGUUGAGGUUCAGACCUGAUUUUUUGGGGGGGGUGUUUCUGGUGCCAGCUUCUGUCUCUACAGAGAGCCAUGCUCUUCUGUCUAGUGACUAUUCUAUGAGGUCUUCCAUUUCUGAAGAAUUGCUGCUGAAAAGCAGCCCCUGUCUGGGUUUAUGUUCUGGGUCCAUUUCUUAUAAGUUUUUGUUUCACUAGACCCAUCUAACUAAAACUGACCUGUUACAGUGGCCACUUUGGGGAUUUUCUGAGAUUCCAAAAUUAAUUUAUUUGCAUGCACAGUUGGAAAAAGAAAAGAAGCAUAUUUCAGUUGGUAUUUGAAUGUCUCCAAGAAGUCAAAAGAUUCUAAACUUGCUUCAAGAAAAUAACUCAGAACUUUCUAAAGCUAACUCUGACCUCCCUCAGAGACUAAACUAGAAAAUAUUGCUAAGGAGGUAAAGCAGGAACAUGGGACAAGCAUCAUGAUUAAUUUUUCCUGCCUAUGAUGAAAAAUGCCAAGAAAUAAAUAGUAGAGUAAGAACAGGAGGGACUCCAUCUUGAGGCUAAGAUUCCAUUUUAAAAACCAAGGAGUUAGGAGGUAAGAUUCUUCACAUACUCUAUGGUAAUUAGCCACCAAAUGACCCUACCUUAAGGCAGGGCAGGCAGUCCUAACUGAUAUGUUCCCACUGCUUGAGGGUAACCACUUAGAGAAGAACAGGAUCAAUAAAUUCUUUGUGUUAAGUUUAUCUUACAGAGUAUCUGGAGGACUGACUAUGUGUAAUGACAUAAUCUCUCUCACUGGAGAUAGACAUGAGACCACAAGUCAAGCCUAUGCCCUCUUGACCCUUUACCCCACUCGAAAUCCUUAAAAAGACAUGAAUCCUAAGCCAUUAAGAGCCCCUUGUCUCUGAGGCUGCCCACACUCCCCUUUCUUUGAGUUUGUAUUUUGUCUUAAAUAAAGCCUUCUUGCUGCUCAA